GGAAGAUCCUCGUCCCCGGUGGGAUGGCCGGACUUCAAAUCCGGUUGGGGCCGCCAGCGGCCCUAGGCAGGUUCGACUCCUGUGAUCUUCCGCCA
rnacentral:tRNA from 1 species